ACCUGUGGUAAAAUGGAGCGCUAACCUGCUGGUAAAAUGGGAGCGCUAACCUGCUGGUAAAAUAGAGCGCUAACCUGCAGGUAAAAUAGAGUGCUAACCUGCUAGAUAAAUGGAGCUCUACCUGCUGGUAAAAUAGAGCGCUAACCUACUGGUAAAAUGGAGCGCUAACCUGCUGGUAAAAUGGAGCGCUAACCUGCUGGUAAAAUAGAGCGCUAACCUGCUGGUAAAAUAGAGCGCUAACCUGCUAGUAAAAUAGAGCGCUAACCUGCUAGUAAAAUGGAGCGCUAACCUGCUGGUAAAAUGGAGCUUUAGCCUGCUGGUAAAAAUCGGUCAGAUAAUGGUAAUUAGGUUCAUUUCUCCCCCCCCCUGUAAGUUUGCUCUAUGUGCUGUCACUAUCCAGGCUAUCUUGAUGAAAAACAAGUGUGUGCCCUGUGGCCUAAAGCAAGGCCAAAGAGAGAGAGUGAUAAAGGGAGGGCUGGGGUGUCUCAAUGAAGAGAGUGAGACGGUGAGAAGAAGAGGGGGGAGAGAGAGGGCUGUAAUGUCUCAGUUCACUCUGUCUACAGAAACAGCUGCUCUCCAUUGAUUACACUGGCAGUUACACUCCUAACAACCGUAUGUUUAGUGCAGAAUACUAGAGGUAAUCUUCAAUUAGACAAACCAACUGCUUUUAAAAAGAUGUACACUGCAAGGAGUAUAUGAAAUGAUAAAUAAAAAACAAAUAAUAAUA